rnacentral:rRNA from 1 species
CCUACGGGUGGCUGCAGUGGGGAAUAUUGCACAAUGGGCGCAAGCCUGAUGCAGCCAUGCCGCGUGUGUGAAGAAGGCCUUCGGGUUGUAAAGCACUUUCAGCGGGGAGGAAGGCGGUGAGGUUAAUAACCUCAUCGAUUGACGUUACCCGCAGAAGAAGCACCGGCUAACUCCGUGCCAGCAGCCGCGGUAAUACGGAGGGUGCAAGCGUUAAUCGGAAUUACUGGGCGUAAAGCGCACGCAGGCGGUCUGUCAAGUCGGAUGUGAAAUCCCCGGGCUCAACCUGGGAACUGCAUUCGAAACUGGCAGGCCAGAGUCUUGUAGAGGGGGGUAGAAUUCCAGGUGUAGCGGUGAAAUGCGUAGAGAUCUGGAGGAAUACCGGUGGCGAAGGCGGCCCCCUGGACAAAGACUGACGCUCAGGUGCGAAAGCGUGGGGAGCAAACAGGAUUAGAUACCCCGGUAGUC